UGAUACAUAAACAAACCUUUAUUUUGAAAAUACACGACAGGAAGUAGUAUCCUUAAAACCCGGAACCGCUUUGCAGGGCUGACCUUACUUCAACCAGCAUGAGCAGGACCUGAGACACUUGGGUUGUAAUUUUGCACAUUGCAGACAACAUUGUUUAAACACAUGCGAAGACAUUUUCAGGAACGGAAUCGUGUGUUAUUUUUUCCUCGUUUGUCUGACGUCUCCCUACGUUUUUGUUUACAAAGGGGCGUAUUCGCUUUAGCACACACCCUGUAGUACAAUGUCAAUAGCACCGGAGGCACCAGCAGGAGUAACAUCAGCUGGAGGAGCCGGCGAGAGGUUCCAGAGCUGCUGGAGCUGUCGGCUCCUCUCCGGCGGAGGGCUGUUCCUGUCGGCCGCUUAUGUGUUCAGUGGGACCCGGAGGUUGCCAAGAGGUGGAGUUGCCUCUAUUGGGAUGAUAACAUUCGCUGCAUGUCUGGCUUCAUUGGGAUUUGUUAUCAUCGCUGAUCCGGUACCAAAGAAGGACCUGAAGUCUGAUUAGAAACAGGAUGGAUAACUGGCUCAAACAUGGACUGCACGUUUGGUGGCAAAUAUUCAUGGGCAAUAUGAAACAAGCUGAAGAAGCGGCUCUUUGGUCUGUAGUAAAGUUGUGUAUAGGGAUGUUGUGUAUUAUUACAGAAACAAGCUUUUCAUUGUGUGGAUAGAUCAAGAAUCAAUAUUGGAAGCUUUUCAUUGAAUAAAAGAUGUAACAUAUUGUAUUUAAAUUAAAAAAGAAAAUGUGAUA